CAUUUGACUCGACGAGUGCGAAGGGUAAGGAAGCUAGCCGAGCCUAGGAGGAUUUGCUUAGGUAGCUGGAACGUAGGGUCUCUGACAGGGAAGCUUAGGGAGCUAGUUGAUGCAGCGGUGAGGAGGGGUGUUGAUAUCCUUUGCGUCCAAGAAACCAAAUGGAGAGGACAGAAAGCGAAGGAGGUGGAGGAUACCGGCUUCAAGCUGUGGUACACGGGGACGGCUGCAAACAGAAAUGGCGUAGGCAUCUUGAUCAACAAGAGCCUCAAGUAUGGAGUGGUAGACGUCAAGAGACGUGGGGACCGGAUUAUCCUGGUCAAGCUGGUAGUUGAGGACUUGGUUCUCAAUGUUAUCAGCGCGUAUGCCCUGCAAGUAGGCCACAAUGAGAACACCAAGAGGGAGUUCUGGGAAGGCUUGGAAGACAUGGUUAGGAGUGUACCGAUUGGUGAGAAGCUCUUCAUAGGAGGAGACCUCAAUGGCCACGUGGGUACAUCUAACACAGGUUUUGAAGGGGCACAUGGGGGCUUUGGCUAUGGCAUCAGGAAUCAAGAAGGAGAAGAUGUCUUAAGCUUUGCUCUAGCCUACAACAUGAUUGUAGCUAACACCCUCUUUAGAAAGAGAGAAUCACAUCUGGUGACUUUUAGUAGUGGCCAACACUCUAGCCAGAUUGAUUUCAUCCUCUCGAGAAGAGAAUAUAGGCGUGCGUGCCUAGACUGUAAGGUGAUACCCGGAGAGAGUGUUGUACCCUAG
rnacentral:rRNA from 1 species